rnacentral:tRNA from 3 species
GCGGAGGUGGCGGAAUUGGCAGACGCACUAGCUUGAGGUGCUAGCGGGAGCAAUCCCGUGGGGGUUCAAGUCCCCCUCUCCGCACCA